ensembl:lncRNA
UCAAAACUGUGUGUUCCAACGUGGAGAAGAUAAUAGAGAAGUUUUAUAGUACUUUUUCAAAGAGGGUGUGAUCAGUUCAUUGAUAUUCUUCUGAUGGGUUGGUGUUAAGUUCCUUAAAUCUGCUCAUUGAAACAAAGGAAAAGUCAUGGAGACUGAAUGAAGGCUGUUUCCUGUAAUCAAAGAGAUGGGGUUGCAGCGCAGCCAUUUGGGAUCAUGGAGCCCAGGAAUAGUGAAGCAAAAGAGAAAGUACUGAUGAUGGAGCCAAUCAUGCUACUUUUGGACAACCUUCUUCUGAACUUCAUUAACGUGG